rnacentral:rRNA from 1 species
UCGAGCGGCAAGCUGUAGCAAUACAGCCUAGAGCGGCGGACUGGUGAGUAACGCGUGGGUGACCUGCCCAUUGGAUGGGGAUAGCCACUAGAAAUAGUGGGUAAUACCGAAUGUGGUUGCGAAGCUGUGGCUUUGCAAAGAAAGGAGCUUUGGCUCCGCCAAUGGAUGGGCCCGCGUCCCAUUAGCUAGUUGGUGAGGUAACGGCCCACCAAGGCGAUGAUGGGUAGCCGGCCUGAGAGGGUGUACGGCCACACUGGGACUGAGAUACGGCCCAGACUCCUACGGGAGGCAGCAGCUAAGAAUAUUCCGCAAUGGACGAAAGUCUGACGGAGCGACGCCGCGUGGACGACGAAGGCCGAAAGGUUGUAAAGUCCUUUUGCCGAUGAAGAAUAAGUGGGGGAGGGAAUGCCCUCACGAUGACGUUAGUCGGUGAAUAAGCCCCGGCUAAUUACGUGCCAGCAGCCGCGGUAACACGUAAGGCGCGAGCGUUGUUCGGAAUUAUUGGGCGUAAAGGGCGCGUACGCGGUACUGCAAGCCCGGCGUGAAGACCAGGGGCUUAACUUCUGGCUUGCGCUGGCAACUGCGGUACUAGAGUCACGGAAGGGGAGCUGGAAUUCAGGUGUAGGGGUGAAAUCCGUAUAUAUCUGGAAAUCACCGGUGGCGAACGCGAGCUACUGGCUGAUGACUGACGCUGAGGCGCGAAAGCGGGGGAAGCAAACAGGAUUAGAAACCUUGUAAGCCCCCCCAUAAACAAUGAACCUA